rnacentral:lncRNA from 1 species
AGAGUGAGACCUGUCUCAAAAAAAAUUUUCCUGUGUAUUUAGUUGGUCCAGUCUAGUGUGUGUGUGUGUUCAUAUUCAUAAGUUUUAAAUUUCUGGUCUAAACUCUGGAUGUACUGAGUUUUAGGUCCUGUCCGUUUUUCACAUUGGCUGUUUUUUUCUCACUUUAAAAUCUGAGUAUCUUAACAUCACCCCGUCACACAGCUUCUCUGUUUAGGUUCCCUUACCUUUGUAUCAUUAAGUAGGACUGUCCCUGUGGACACGGUGACCCUAAAAAGUAAAUAGAACACUCAAAAGGGACGUGAAUGUGCAGGUACCAUGGGUCUGGGGUGACCUGCUUCACAGAAGUCACCGACCUUGGCAUGGUAGCUACUGCCUUCUGUGUCUGGACCUGAAGAGUGGAGCUGGGGUCUGGAGACCUCGUGUAAAUAUCUUGAGCUUGAACCAAAAGUAGCCUCUUGGGGCAUCUGCAUUGGCCCUUCCAGGGAGGAAGUCAGAAUGCUGCCCUGUCCUUCUAGGUGAGGAGUGGUGAGUAGAUACUGACACGCACCUCCAAACCUUUCUCUGAGCCCCUGGGACCAGCAGCCAGGGUUAGAAUAUCACACAAGCUAAGUGAUUUGAUAGCCUGUGGCUGGGGUGGAGAUCUGAGUUCUGUAACAGGGAGAGCCCCACAAGUGGAGGAAGCCAUGGAGUUCGGUGUUUAUCUACUUCCAAGGUGACUUCAGGCCAUGAGUUGCCAAUCGGGCUCUCUGUUGUUUUUGAGACAGGGUCUCUAUAGCCCAUGCUGGCUUCAAACUUACUGUACACAGAGGGUGAUCUUGAACUCAUGACCCUCCUUUCACUUCCAUGUGUUGGUGUUAACAGGGUUCCACCACCAUGCCGGUUUUAUGCUGUGCUAGGGGUAAAACCCAGGGCUUUGUGCCACUGGGCAAGCACUCUCAUCAUCUGGGCUGCUCCCCUCAGCUUUCUUACCUUCUGUUGACCUCAGCCCCUCCCUUUGUAGAUCAGGACACUUGAUGCAAAUAGCAGUGUUCUUUCUUUCAAAAUUGUUACAUGAGAAUUUACACUUACAAAAAUGUUUUGUUUUGCUACUUCAAAACUUCUGAUUUCU